CUAAUUAUGGCAGCUUGUGCAUUUUGUGCAUUUUGUGUUGGACCUUAUUAGCAGCUCAGGAACUGAAGCAUCUUUUGCAGCCAGAUAUGGUUGUUUGGUUAUCAUAGAAAAUGUUGAGCGUCUAGCUGUUGGAGCAUUAGUCUCUAUAAGGGGAAUUGGUCGUGUCAAGAUUGUGAAAUUUUUGCAGUCAGAGCCUUACUUGAUAGGUGAAGUUAUA